rnacentral:lncRNA from 10 species
GGUGUUUUCUCGGAGAAGAAGCUACAUGUGGAAUAUAUUAACGCAACAAAUUGACCCUGGUUGAAGGAACCUGUUGUUCUUAUGGUGGAGGGCAGAAACCCAAGAGGGCUGGAGCCAAUCCAUCCCUGUUUUCUUUAGACGCUGACUCCUGCUGUCUACCAGAUCCUCGUGGUACAAUGACUGGUGUAGACUGGCUUGUUGAAGUCACUCUCUGGAUCUGAGCAACGCUGGCUGAGCCGUGAUGAAGUAUUCCUAUCCAUCCACUAUGCUUCACAGUGGGAAUCUCUCACUGUUCAUCACCGCUGCCCUAGCAGCCGCAGGGAUUCUUCACCCAUGGUUGCUUAGGUUUAUAAGCAAGGAAGCUGAAUGAAGUCCCUUUCCUCUCUGGAUGAGCCCCUGGGUUUCUGGAAGAGUCUUAAAAUCACCCCUAAAUGGCUUCCAAGCACUGAAGCCCGAGAUGUUAGCUGGCCUGUGUGAGGCCUUGAGACAGAAUGCCACAGCCACACCCCAAGGAUGCUGAAGGGGAUUUCCCUCCUCUGUGGUUUUUCUCCUUUCUUCCCGCAGCACUCCUCCUACGUGCUAACAUCUUCUAGUCAAACAACUCUCCUUUUCAAAGGGACCAGGCACAGUUUCUGCUUAUCCCUGAGUAGCAGUGUUCAGUUUCCUGCCAGCCUGUGGAGUUUUUCAAACAAGCCAAUCACCUCCUCCUGUGGGAACUGAGAAGCACCCCACCCUCUCGAUACUACAAAGCCCCUGCUUGUUCCCUAGUGCAACUCCCAUGUGGUCCUGUGGAGCAUAUGGUAUCUUCCUCUUCUGGGCAGUGAGCAUAUGUGACUAAUAAACUAUC